rnacentral:SRP_RNA from 1 species
GUCGGGAAUGGUGGCUCAGGCCUGUCCCAGCUACUGGGGAUGCUGGAGUGGGAGGAUCACUUGAGCCCAGGAGUCCUGUGCUGACCAGGUGUCUGCACUAAGUUCCAUAUCAACAUGUGACAACCUGGGAGUGUGGGACCACCAGGUUACCUAAGGAGGGAAAACUCCCGUGCUGAUCAGUAGUGGAAAUGCACCUGUGAAUAGCCACUGCACUCCAGCCUGGGCAACAUAGCAAGACCCCGUCUCU